UUGUGCAGAAAGCUUUGCGUCAUGGUUCUGAUCGCUCUGUCGGAGUGUAUUUAGUGAUAAUGACCAUCUAUUGAUUAUGCAUUAUCUGUAAAUUAUUCUUCUGCUCAUCAAAAAUACAGAAAAAAAUGUAAUAUUGUGAAAUAUUACUGCAAUUUCCAAUAUUGGUUUGCUUUGUUGAUAUACUUUAAAACAGAAUGUAUUUCUGUGACGCAGCUGUAUUUUCAGCAUCAUUGCUCCAGUCUUCAGUGUCACAUGAUCUUCAGAAAUCAUUCUAAUAUGAUGAUUCAUUAUCAAAGUUGGAAACAGUUCUGCUGCUUAAUAUUUUUUCAGAACGUGAUACUUUUUUAGGAUUCUUUGAUGAAUAAAAAAAAAAAAAAAAAAAAAAAAAAAAGAAGCUAUGUUUUUAAAUUAUAAAUAUUUUGUAAUAACAAUAUACACUACUGGUCAGUAAUUUGGGGUCAGUAAUCUUUCUUUUUAAAUAAAAAUCAAUACUUUUAUUCAGCAAGGAUGUGUUAAAUUGAUAAAAAGUGAUAGUAAAGAAAAUAUAUUAUUAGAAUAUAUAUUAUUAGAUUUAUUUAUUUUUUUUGAAUAAAUGUAGUUCUUUUUAACCUUUUAUUCAUCAAAUAUAUUAGACAGCAGAACAGUGUUUCCAACACUCAUAAUAAAUCAGAAUAUUAGAAUGAUUUCUAAAUGAUCAUGUGAUAGACUGGAUGUUACAUGUGACACUGAAGGCUGGAGUAAUGAUGCUGAAAAUUCAGCUUUGCAUCACAGGAAUAAAUUAUUUUUUAAAGUAUAUUCAAAUAGAAAACUAUUAUUUUAAGUUGUAAUAAUAUUUCACAAUAUUACUGUUUUUUCUGUAUUUUUGAUCAAAUAAAUGCAGGCUUGAUGAGCAGAAGAGACUUCUUUCAAAAACAUUAAAAAUAGUAAUGUUUCCAAACUUUUGGUCUGUACUGUAUGUAUGUGAGUGUUGUCGUCUACCGAAACACUGACAGAAAACUAGUGACGCAGGAUGUUAAAACACUGCCGUGUGAUGAACGGUACUAUGACUGCCCUGCUGAAAUAAACAAGACACCAUCACAGAAUUUGUAAUGGUUUUAUUGGUUAUAAUGGGACUUGUAUUGGUUUUAAUGGAAACUGUAAUGGACCCUGUGGGUCUCUACUGGUCAUUGGUUGCUUUCUAUUGGUGGCUUGUUAAAACCAAUCAAUGCUAAUGGAAUAUGUCCCAAAACACCAUUUUUAAAUGGUUUUAAUGGUUAAAAG
ensembl:lncRNA